rnacentral:rRNA from 1 species
UAGCAUAUCAAUAAGCGGAGGAAAAGAAACCAACAGGGAUUGCCCCAGUAACGGCGAGUGAAGCGGCAACAGCUCAAAUUUGAAAUCUGGCCCCUCCCCCGGGGGGGCCCGAGUUGUAAUUUGCAGAGGAUGCUUCUGGCGAGGUGCCUUCCGAGUUCCCUGGAACGGGACGCCACAGAGGGUGAGAGCCCCGUCUGGUCGGACACCGAGCCUCUGUGAAGCUCCUUCGACGAGUCGAGUAGUUUGGGAAUGCUGCUCUAAAUGGGAGGUAUAUGUCUUCUAAAGCUAAAUACCGGCCAGAGACCGAUAGCGCACAAGUAGAGUGAUCGAAAGAUGAAAAGCACUUUGAAAAGAGGGUUAAACAGUACGUGAAAUUGUUGAAAGGGAAGCGCUCACGACCAGACCUGGUCCCGGCGAAUCACCCGGCGUUCUCGCCGGUGCACUUCGACGGGCUUCCAGGCCAGCAUCAGUCCGCGCCGGGGGACAAAGGCGGCGGGAACGUGGCUCCCCAGGGAGUGUUAUAGCCCGCCGCGCAAUGCCCCGGGGGCGGACUGAGGACCGCGCGUCACCGCAAGGAUGCUGGCGUAAUGGUCUUCAGCGACCCGUCUUGAAACACGGACCAAGGAGUCGUCCUCGUAUGCGAGUGUUGGGGCGUCAAACCCCCCGCGCGUAAUGAAAGUGAACGGCAGGUGAGAGCCCUCGCGGGCGCAUCAUCGACCGAUCCUGAUGUUCUCGGAUGGAUUUGAGUAAGAGCAUACGGGGCCGGACCCGAAAGAAGGUGAACUAUGCCUGUGUAGGGUGAAGCCAGAGGAAACUCUGGUGGAGGCUCGCAGCGGUUCUGACGUGCAAAUCGAUCGUCAAACAUGGGCA